AGGCAGCCCCAUUGGUUAGCGGGGUCGCUGUUAAAGCCAAUCGAUGUGCUGGCGGAGUCGUGAAGGGGAACGAGCGCGAGCGCGAAUGGGACAAAUGGAAGCUGAUAAAAAGGGGCGCGUGCCUCGGUUGGCUCGCGGCGGGACGGACGGUGGAAAGCAGAGCGACAGCAGCGCCUCGAGCUCAAGACGUUUCUUUUAAUUUUGAAGUGAGCCAGCGUUUCCAGAGAGAAAACGGUUGGAAAUCUGCUCCUGAAAAUCCGGU